rnacentral:lncRNA from 1 species
UUUCAGCUGUCUCUCACAUGCUAAGUAAAACAAAUACAGUCAUUUUUCUUCCUCCUUUCUUGAAAUAUAUCUAUGCAACUAGUUGAAGAUAGAGAUCCCAGCUUAUAUUCAUUUCCAUGUCCCAUAUUCUCUUCCAGAAUGCACAUGAAUGACCAGAACACCCAAGAAUUUCCCUCUCUGGAAAUCCCUCCAGACCAGCCUUAUUUGAGAUGGAUUCCCAUUUUGUGCUCCCGCCCGAAACGAAAGGAAUGAAAGAACGGAUGAAACAGGAAAAACGGGUGCCGAGCUGAAGGGAGAAGUGGGAGGAAGAGAGAGAAACUUUUUAGAAGCAGUUGAAAAAAGCCUCAUGCCUGAUUAACUGGAACUGCAUCUGCCAAACUAGGAUAGUUGGAGAACAUAUUACAGUGCCCAUCAUCCAUAUCUAAUUCAGUUUAUUGGCUACUUGGAAAGAUCAGAAAAUUAUUUCAAAGCUAGAAACAGGUUAGAUGUGUCAAGGAAAAUGCUCUUGGGGUCUGGUCAUCAUUGCACAUGAACUUCAUAGAAGUACCAUUGGAUUUUGGAUCUUUCUCACACCAUAAAUGCAUGACCAACAUCAUGUCUGUUCUAACUAUCAAAGAGAAACAUCUCUUGCCUUAACACAUGGUAUUAUUUGGAUUGUUGUAAUUUUAGUAUAACAAACCAGGAAUACAAUCUUAAUAAUUCAUUAAAAACAAAAUAAAACAUCAUAAAAAGUAUGGAUUUUUAUUAUAAAAAGUGUUUCCCUUAAAUAUAAUUCAUAAAGAUUUUAUUUUGUAUUAUUACUUGAGUGAUUGUAAGGUUGUUGUUCUUUUACUAGUUUGACUUCUGGAAUGUAUUCUAUAGGGUAUUCAUCUUAAAACCUAUUCUCUUUAGAAGCUAUACAAAGCCAGUGUUUUUUCUGUGCCAGAAUUGGUUCUUAUAACUACAUUUUUCCAGAAUGAAAUCAUAAAAUAUUGUUAGAAUUAUUAUGCGAUCAUUUUUUAUAAUGGUGCAGUGUGGACCCACUUUAAUGCUUACAAAUCUCUACCAAUAACACUUCUCUUUAUGUAUUUCCAUACUUAAACCACUGGAAAUAUUCUUUACUACCUAAUUUCAGAGACCUAUCAAAUUGGCAUUCUGGAAUAUCCAUGUACCUAAAUGCUAAAUGAGAUACGAAAACAAGCUGUCAAAAUUAUAACCUGCUCCUUACUUUUGUUUAUCAGCUAUUAGUCCCAGCGCAUUCUAAACACUUUUCCUGAUUCCUUCUCAGUCUUGCACAAUUCUCCUUUGUUUGCACAGACAUGGGGAGUUUUGUAUAAUAUCAAAGGUCUCAUUCUAGGUUAUUAUGUCAUGGUUUUUAAAUUCUAUAAUAAAUGGAGCUUAAUUAAGGCUCAUUCUCCUAAGCUAUCAGAGACA